AGGGUGUUGUUUAUUUCUCAGCAUGGAAAACGCACAUGUUGUACUUUUCAUUUACAGGGAACAGCUCAGAGGAACCAAAGCCCCAGAAUAAAUACUUCAUUCUGAAACCCACGAAGAAUGACCAGCUACCAAAUGACAUGUGUUCUAAUUUUACUAUGCCCAUUUGGUUCCUGCUUACAAACCUGUCAGAAGAUCCAAGUGCAAUAUAAUGGACCGACUUUAUCAUCACUUCCUGCCCAAGUCUCUCAACUGAAUUCAAAAUGCGGAUUUCAGAAGUCGGGAAGUCUUUCUUGUCUACUGAGCAUGUGGCAGUUCCUGUUUAUCUUGCUUCCAAGUUCUCUUUGUGAAGAUAAACUGUUUCCAUGACUCUUCAGAUUACUGACCAGGAAGUUUAGAAGAGUCUAGAACUGUGCUUUUAAAAAUGCUAAUGUGCUUCUGGUGCCAAGAAAGACUCAUUGUAUGUUCAACAGGACUAAAAUGUAGAUACUGCUGCUGGUGGUCUUGGGCCACACACUGAGUAGUAUCUGUGAGUUUUACUACUUAGGCAUGAUGUAGAACCCAGGAUUGCAUACAUGCCUUUCUCUAUUUCUUUCCACCUUAUUUUGCAAAACUGAUUCUCAUUAAAUACUGAACUCAUCAAUUCAGUAAGAUUACCUGGCACUGGAGUUACAAAUAUUCUGUUGCUGUUUUCUCAAUACUAAGGUUGCAGAAGUGUGCCUCCAUGCCAGUCUUUUUACAUAGGUUCCAGGGAAUCAAACUCAGAUUCUCAUGCUUGGCAGUGCUACUUUGUCAACUAAGGCAACUUUUCCUGUUAUAGAAAAGAUUUCUGGUUUGUGGAUUGUUUCUUCCUUUCUGUUCUCAUUCAAGAACAUUAUUUAGUCCUGGGAGUUCAAGAGUUGCCUAACACAAACAUCCAGGUUGAAGGCAGCACAGAACUUGGAGAUAGCAUGUGCUUGAGGUUUCCAGGUGAAUUUAACUUAGAAAAAGGGCAUAUAAGUGACUGUAACACAUGACCAUAUGAAGGCAGAAUGAAAAGAAUAUGGUGCUGAUAAGAUUCUGUGACAUGAAUAUGGCUUUCAUGACAUGCCAGACACUGGGUUACAAUCUUGCAUUUGCAACACAUUCUUUGGUAUUCCAAUAUGAUUUGGGGUUGGAUAUAGUUCACUUUAUGUUCUUUAUAAAGAAAUUGGUAAAUCGAGAAUUGAGUGACUUGCUGAGGUCAAUAGCAAGUAAGAGAUGAAGAUAAUGAAGUCUGAAGCUCUGUCCAUUUAUAUACAGAGUCACUGCUGUUAUCCUUCAGGCUUGGGAACCUUUUAUUGAAGAUGGUAGCAGAGACUGUGGACCUCCCAAAAAUAUGCUCUCUACCUUGAUUUUAGUGUCCACAGGAACUAUAACCAUAGCAUCUACUUUCCAGUGCCUCCUACUGCUAGAGCCUGUUUUGCCUCCUUUACCUUUCAAAAGCAGGCCUCAAUUAGGAAUCAUAUGAAACUGUGUAUGAAUAUCCUAAUGGCCAUGAAUGCCAUGUGAGGUAAAUAUGAGCUACUAAAUAGCGUAUCAUUUGAAGGAGAUACAUCUAAUGCUUCUGUGUUUUGUUUCGUUUUGUUUUCCCUUAAUUUCUCAGGCUAGUUGCUUCAAAGCCAUAUCCUUUUUUAAUGACAAAGAGAAUUUUUUACACUCACAUGUACAAACACAGAGACAAUAGAAUAUUUUUGAAUGGAUGAAAAUGCAACCAUUAUCCAACAUGAAGGAUGUGCUUUCUUAAUUGCCUUGAUUUUCUAAUAAAAAUAUUGCUUUUUA